rnacentral:rRNA from 1 species
UAACUGGUCGUACGUGGACGGUACCUCAUUAGAAAGCCACGGCUAACUACGUGCCAGCAGCCGCGGUAAUACGUAGGUGGCAAGCGUUGUCCGGAAUUAUUGGGCGUAAAGCGCGCGCAGGCGGUCCUUUAAGUCUGAUGUGAAAUCCCACGGCUCAACCGUGGAAGGUCAUUGGAAACUGGGGGACUUGAGUACAGAAGAGGAAAGCGGAAUUCCAAGUGUAGCGGUGAAAUGCGUAGAGAUUUGGAGGAACACCAGUGGCGAAGGCGGCUUUCUGGUCUGUAACUGACGCUGAGGCGCGAAAGCGUGGGGAGCAAACAGGAUUAGAUACCCUGGUAGUCCACGCCGUAAACGAUGAGUGCUAAGUGUUAGGGGGUUUCCGCCCCUUAGUGCUGCAGCUAACGCAUUAAGCACUCCGCCUGGGGAGUACGGUCGCAAGACUGAAACUCAAAGGAAUUGACG